rnacentral:sRNA from 1 species
GUCAGCACCCCGCUCUGAAGAGACGGGGCUUCAUGCCUCCAACUUUAGAUAGCUGACCAGCCUAAGCCUAACGGCUACGUUUUNGAGCGAUAAAAUCAACAAAUCUGUAACGAAAAGUUAACCUGAUAUGGAAAAACGAACUCUAGGUCAAUCUGAUAUCUUAAUUACUCCGAUUUUGAUCGGAACUUGGCAAGCGGGAAAACGAAUGU